CGCGCGAUUAGAGCGGCCGAUAUCUGAUUAGCUAGUUGGCGGGGUAAUGGCCACCAAGGCGACGAUCAGUAGCCGGCCUGAGAGGGUGAUCGGCCACACUGGAACUGAGACACGGUCCAGACUCCUACGGGAGGCAGCAGUGGGGAAUUUUGCGCAAUGGACGAAAGUCUGACGCAGCAACGCCGCGUGGGUGAUGAAGGUCUUCGGACUGUAAAACCCUGUCGUCAGGGACGAAGGUGUGGGAGUUAAUAGCUCUUACGCUUGACGGUACCUGGAGAGGAAGCCCCGGCUAACUCUGUG
rnacentral:rRNA from 1 species